UGGAUGUGCCGAGCCUGAACUCCGUCGAGGAGCUCGACGGCGGGGUCGUCGCGAUCGGGGCGACCGUCACGCUCGAUGUGCUCCUGGCUCAUCCUUAUCUCAAUCCCUAUCCGUCGAUCCGCCAGGCGAUUGAAGGCAUCAAUAGCAUGCAGCUCCAGUGCCAGGGAACGCUCGGCGGCGAAAUCCUCCAGCGGCCCCAGUGCUGGUUCUACCGCGAUGGCCGCGGCCUCACCGCUGCCGGCGGCAAGCUCGCGGCUGAGGGGGACAACCGCUAUCACGCGAUCCUGGGCAAUCAGGGCGCGGCGAAGUUCGUGAGCGCCUCGCGGAUCGCCCCGGCGCUCGUCGCCCUGGGAGCGACGGCCCGCGUGAUCGGCCCGGACGAAGCCGACGAGAAGUUUAUUCCCGUCGAGCAGCUCCUUCGCACGCCGCGCCACGAAGGGGAGCGCGAAAACACGCUGGCCGCGAACCAGCUCCUUACUCACAUCCUGCUGCCGAAUGUGGAUGGCGUGGAGAACGCCACGUACGAAGUCCGCCACGGCGAAGGCCCGGACUACCCGCUCGCUGCCGCCGCGGUCGCGCUGCGGAUGGAAGGAGGCGUUGUCCGCGAGGCCAAAGUCGUGCUUGGCCACGUCGCCCCGACCCCCUGGGUCAGCACACCCGCUGCCGAUACGCUCCGCGGCUGGAUGAUCGAUGCCAAUCUGGCCGAAGCCGCCGGCGCUGCCGCCGUGGCUGAGGCGACUCCGCUUUCUAAUAACGCUUACAAGGUGCAGCUCGCCAAGGUCGCCGUCAAACGGGCGAUCCUGCGUGCUGCCGGCCACGAAACGGGAGGAUUUUAAGCCAUGGCCUUUGUCAAAGAGUAUCCCGCCCUGCCGACGGUUACCACGCCGCCGUGCAUCCAUCUCCGCAACAAGGCGAUGUACAUCCGGGGGACGCCCGGCUCGCCGGACACCUAUCCGGAAGAGACCAACGUCCCCUACUGCUGGUGCAACGUCACCCAGCACUUCUACGGCCCGGAUUCCGCCCACGUCACCCGCGACCAGUGCGUCCCCGGCCGGCAGUGCUUUAAAGAGACGUACUGAGCGGCACCAGCCAGCUUGAAGCCAACACAGCCUCGGAAGAGACGGACCAGAGCCGUUUCCACUGAGGCUGUUUUUUUAACGUGAGAGAUCGAGCCAUGAUUCGCCACCUACUGCUCAUCACUGCCUGGCUUUCUCUCGCUUUGUCAGCCGCCGCCCAAACCAACCCGCGCGAGCCGGUUGUCCUCACCGACAAGGCCCGCGAGGUCCAUGCCGCAACAUUCGUUUUCGACGGCCACAACGAUCUGCCCUGGGAGAUGCGGACCAAGGCCGACAGCUCGUUUGCGAAGCGCGAUAUCCGCGAGCCCCAGCCGAAGAUGCAUACGGACAUUCCGCGGCUGAAGGCGGGGAAUGUGGGGGCGCAGUUCUGGAGCGUCUAUGUGCCGGCGGAGACGGCCAAGAAGGGGACGGCCCUGUUGGACACGCUGGAGCAGAUCGAGCUGGUGAAAGAGAUGAUCGACAAGUAUCCGGAUGUCUUCGAGCAGGCGCGGACCGCCAGCGACAUCGAGCGGAUUCGCAAGGAAGGCAAGAUCGCUUCGCUGAUCGGUGUCGAAGGGGGCCACUCGAUCGAAAACUCGCUGGAGAACCUGCGGCGUUUGCACAAGCUCGGCGCGGGCUACAUGACGCUCACGCACAGCGACACGCUCGGCUGGGCCGAUUCGGCGACGGACAAGGGAGAGCACCAGGGGCUGAACCCGUUCGGCGAAGAGGUCGUCCGCGAGAUGAACCGCCUGGGGAUGCUCGUCGAUCUGUCGCACGUCUCGGAUGAGACGAUGAAAGACGCCCUCCGCAUCAGCAAGGCCCCGGUGAUCUACUCGCACAGCUCCGCCCGCUCCAUCGCCGACCAUCCGCGGAACGUGCCCGACGACGUGCUCGUGCUGGUCAAGGAGAACGGCGGCGUGGUCAUGGUCAAUUUCUUCAGCGGCUUCGUCGUGCCCAGCUCGGCAGCCAAAAUGCGGCAAAUGUUCGCUAAAAUCCGCGAGCUGCGGG
rnacentral:misc_RNA from 1 species